CAGCCGCCGCGGUAAUACGUAGGGUGCGAGCGUUAAUCGGAAUUACUGGGCGUAAAGCGCGCGCAGGCGGAUCUGUCAGUCUGUCUUAAAAGUUCGGGGCUUAACCUCGUGAUGGGAUGGAAACUGCUGAUCUAGAGUAUCGGAGAGGAAAGUGGAAUUCCUAGUGUAGCGGUGAAAUGCGUAGAUAUUAGGAAGAACACCAGUGGCGAAGGCGACUUUCUGGACGAAAACUGACGCUGAGGCGCGAAAGCCAGGGGAGCGAACGGGAUUAGAUACCCGUGUAGUCCCUGUCUCUUAUACA
rnacentral:rRNA from 1 species